CCUACGGGGGGCAGCAGUGGGGAAUUUUCCGCAAUGGGCGAAAGCCUGACGGAGCAAGACCGCGUGGGGGAAGAAGGCUCUUGGGUUGUAAACCCCUUUUCUCUGGGAAGAAAGUUGUGAAAGCAGCCUGACGGUACCAGAGGAAUCAGCAUCGGCUAACUCCGUGCCAGCAGCCGCGGUAAGACGGAGGAUGCAAGCGUUAUCCGGAAUGAUUGGGCGUAAAGCGUCCGCAGGUGGCAGUUCAAGUCUGCUGUCAAAGACCGGGGCUCAACCUCGGAAAGGCAGUGGAAACUGAACAGCUAGAGUAUGGUAGGGGCAAAGGGAAUUCCUGGUGUAGCGGUGAAAUGCGUAGAGAUCAGGAAGAACAUCGGUGGCGAAGGCGCUUUGCUGGACCAUAACUGACACUCAGGGACGAAAGCUAGGGGAGCGAAUGGGAUUAGAUACCCCAGUAGUC
rnacentral:rRNA from 1 species